UAGAAAACCAUUGGGGAAACACAUUUUGUCAGUUCAAAUAAAACAGAACUAAAAACAUAUGAAAUGUGCAACACAAAUUCAUUUAUUUAAAGUUUUGUAUCAUCAAUUAAUUUUCCCCAAUCUUUUUAGGAUGACGUCGAAACCAAGAAGGCGAAAACCAGCGACGACGAUUGAUACGUUUAACCCCACCCACUUCCUGCUGAACCACUUCCUGAAUCUUUCACCUCUGACCUUUUUCGACGACGUCACAGGUGGAGGGGGCUGGAGGACUCGAUAAUACAGAUCUAAAAAUGUUAAAAAAGUGGACAAAAAAAAUCUUUAAAAAAACUUAAAUAAACAAAACAACAUGGUCAUUAUUAGCGAGUAGAGUUCAACCACAGCCACAUUUCCCAAUUUCCGCAAAAAACAACAAAAAAAACCCGGCCACAGAUUUUCUAUAGAGGAGCCCAUUCCGGCGCAGAAUUCCGGCUUUCAACAACUUUACUAACGGAGAAUUUGUUUGUAUUUUUAUUUACAUUUUAUAUUUUUGUACAUAUUGUUUGGAGAAGGGUGGAGGUGGACCCAUGCAUUUCUCUGUCUCUCCUACAGUAGGCGCUCACGAUAGGCAGCGAUAUCUCUCAGCUAAACAAUCGGUGCUUAUUGACUUGGUUGACCAUGUUAUGAUAUUUUGACAGAUGGCUUGUCGAAAAAUAUACAAGAAAAAAAUAAACAAGACAGCAACCUCUCUUAAAGCCGUUGAACUCAGAGCAUUCCAGUGAAUUUAAUGUAUGUACUUAGCUGUACCAUAACUAGUUUGUUUGUAUGGGAGGGCAAGGCCAAAGAAGAGCCUGUUUUUUCUUUUUCCUGUUGUUCAUUUUGUUUGGUUUCGUUUUUGUCGGCGACUUUACGUUUUGACGGCCUGUUUCGGUGUAUGUGCGAAGUUUGUUGUUUGACAAUAAACCGGACUUUUAUUUUGUGAGUUGUACCUCUUUGUGUAUGGCUUUAUUGUAUCAUGGAAUUCCAGCGGCAACCAGCGGGGGACGACAUAGGAGCGCUAAACGUGCCUGUCUCCUCAUAGCUAGUAGUAGGAGUUAAGGCUAGUAACAAAAUGGACCCAAAAUAGGUCGCUAAAAUUUGAGUUGUGAUUUGCUAAUAGUAAAGAUAAAAUAUUAUGAUCUCAUAUUGUAAUCAAAUUCUCAUCAAAAAGUAUUAAGUUGAAUGUGGAAUAAUUGGCCAC
ensembl:lncRNA